GAUGAACGCUGGCGGCGUGCCUAAUACAUGCAAGUCGAGCGAACAGAUGAGGAGCUUGCUCCUCUGACGUUAGCGGCGGACGGGUGAGUAACACGUGGAUAACCUACCUAUAAGACUGGGAUAACUUCGGGAAACCGGAGCUAAUACCGGAUAAUAUAUUGAACCGCAUGGUUCAAUAGUGAAAGACGGUUUUGCUGUCACUUAUAGAUGGAUCCGCGCCGCAUUAGCUAGUUGGUAAGGUAACGGCUUACCAAGGCAACGAUGCGUAGCCGACCUGAGAGGGUGGGGGGCCACAAGGGAAGUGACACACGGUCCAGACGCAUACGGGACGCAGCAGUAGGGAAUCUUCCGCAAUGGGCGAAAGCCUGACGGAGUAACGGAGCGUGAGUGAUGAAGGUCGUCGGAUCGUAAAACUGUGUUAAUAGGAAAGAACAAAUAUGUAAGUAACUAUGCACGUCUUGACGGUACCUAAUCAGACAGCAACGGAUAACUACGUG
rnacentral:rRNA from 1 species